rnacentral:rRNA from 1 species
UAGGGAAUCUUCGGCAAUGGACGAAAGUCUGACCGAGCAACGCCGCGUGAGUGAAGAAGGUUUUCGGAUCGUAAAACUCUGUUGUUAGAGAAGAACAAGGACGUUAGUAACUGAACGUCCCCUGACGGUAUCUAACCAGAAAGCCACGGCUAACUACGUGCCAGCAGCCGCGGUAAUACGUAGGUGGCAAGCGUUGUCCGGAUUUAUUGGGCGUAAAGCGAGCGCAGGCGGUUUCUUAAGUCUGAUGUGAAAGCCCCCGGCUCAACCGGGGAGGGUCAUUGGAAACUGGGAGACUUGAGUGCAGAAGAGGAGAGUGGAAUUCCAUGUGUAGCGGUGAAAUGCGUAGAUUUAUGGAGGAACACCAGUGGCGAAGGCGGCUCUCUGGUCUGUAACUGACGCUGAGGCUCGAAAGCGUGGGGAGCAAACAGG